AUGGCGCUCAUGGCCUCUCUUCAGCUCGAUUCUACCGUGGCAGUGCUCUGCCUCGCCUUCGUAGCCUCUUGCAUCUUCCUCGUUGCUAGAAGCCGCAAGGCCGGCGCACGCGGAUCACCGCCACCUUCGCCUCCGGCGCUGCCCGUCAUCGGCAACCUGCACCAGCUCGGCCGGGGCCGCCACCACCGGAGGCUGCAAGCCCUCGCGCGGCGUUACGGCCCGCUCUUCCUGCUCCGCCUCGGCUCCGUGCCCACCGUCGUGGUCUCCUUGCCCUCCCUGGCCGAGGCCGUGCUCAAAACCCAGGACCACGUCUUCUGCAGCCGGCCGCAGCCGCGCACCGCCCGCGGCACGCUCUACGGCUGCCGCGACAUGGCCUUCAGCCCCUACGGCGAGCGGUGGCGCCAGCUCCGCCGCAUCGCCGUGCUGCACCUCCUCAGCGCGAAGCGGGUCGACUCCUUCCGCUCCCUCCGGCAGCAGGAGGUCAUGGGCUUCGUGGAACGUAUCCGCGCCGGCGCCCCGGAGGGAGCAGUCAACGUGACCGAGCUCGUCAUCAGCCUGACCAACACCGUCAUCUCCAAGGCGGCGUUCGGGAACAGGCUCGGCGGCGUCGACCCAGGGGUGGUCCGCCAGAUGAUGAAGGAGCUCACCGAGCUGCUCGGGACCAUCGCCGUUAGCGACGUGUUCCCGCGGCUCCGGUGGGUGGACUGGGCGACGGGGCUCGACGCGAGGAUCGGUAGGACGACGGCUGAGCUCGACAGUGUCAUCGAGAAGACGCUCGCGGAGCACGAGGGGAGCCGAGCAAACGACGGUGAGGAGGUGCAUGACCUCCUGGACGGCUUGCUCUCGAUCUUCAAGGAUGGUGAUCAGGGGUUUAGGCUGGACCGGAUUGAUGUCAAGGCGCCCAUCUUGGACAUGUUUAUAGGAGGCACGGACACGAUCUAUAAGGCGAUAGAAUGGACGAUGGCGAGCUUGUUAAAAAUCCAACAGAAAUGGAGAAGGUGCAAGCAGAGGUGA
rnacentral:rRNA from 1 species